ensembl:rRNA 5S_rRNA 5S ribosomal RNA
GCUAGCAGCCAUAACAGCCUCAGGCUGUGAUCUGGUCUGCUCUCAUAAGCUAAACAGGGUUGGUCUUGGCCAAAUGCAUUUGGGAGCCCUCCAAGGAAAUCCCAGGGUGCUUCAGGAA